GGAGCGGUAGUUCAGUUGGUUAGAAUACCGGCCUGUCACGCCGGGGGUCACGGGUUCGAGCCCCGUCCGCUCCGCCA
rnacentral:tRNA from 2 species